UACGUAGGGGGCUAGCGUUGUCCGGAAUCAUUGGGCGUAAAGAGCGUGUAGGCGGCCCGGUAAGUCCGCUGUAAAAGUCAAAGGCUCAACCUUUGAAUGUCAGUGGAUACUGCCGGGCUAGAGUCCGGAAGAGGCGAGUGGAACUCCUGGUGUAGCGGUGGAAUGCGCAGAUAUCAGGAAGAACACCAACGGCGAAGGCAGCUCGCUGGGACGGUACUGACGCUGGAGGCACGAAAGCGUGGGGAGCAAACAGG
rnacentral:rRNA from 1 species